rnacentral:lncRNA from 1 species
AAAAAUAAAAUAAAAUAAAUAUAUACCAUGUACUUUUUAAUUGCAGUUCCUACCUGGUCCUGUCCGGUAGGUGGCGGUAUACCCCUCCAGUCUGAUGACCUGCCUUCGCGGAUGGUGACUGCUUGGAAAAAAACCAAAGAAGAAGAAGAGGUGGCGCAACACAGUUAGCUAACACCGACAGCGGGUUAGUUCAUGACAGCUGCUCUCAGCCUGAAUCUCGCUGCAGCUGAGCUCCUUUACUGUCCCCCCCCUGCUUUUCUUAUGACAUCCUUCAAAACGGGCGACAACACCGCAGCAUGUUUGAGGAUCCUGAACUCCAAGAUCCAUUGUCACUCAGUCUAAAUGAAAAUUAUGAUGAUCAGAAUUCACCACAUCAUGAUACUAAUAGAGCAUCAGCAAGCCCUGAUUAUAACUGUGAGACACCGGAGAUUCGAGUAAUCAUCAAAGAAGAAGAGGAAGGCUGGACUGUGAGUGAAAAUCAUGAGAGCUCCAUCUCAGACAGACAAAAAGAAGUAACUUCUACACAGACUUAUCAUCCUCACCUCAAAGCAUGUGGGAAGGAGAGCACCAUUUCAUGUGGAGCAAAGAGACACCAGGGAGUAAAUUUGGUGGAGGAAUACUCUGAGCAGCCCGCUGGCCCCGCUCUCCAUGGGCAGAGCUCCUCUGCCAGAGAGGGGCAGCAGGGAGACAUCCUCCUGAACUCUCACGAGAAACAUAAUAUUUCCUGUAUAUGUGAGAAGGCAACUGGAAAUGUGCAACAGUGCAGUAGCACCAGAGAGAAACCUUUCUCUUGCCCAGUGCAUGAGACGACACCCAGUCACAAAAGGAACAUAAAUUCUCCAGAGAGAACCCAUGCGGAGGAGGGGUGUUUUGUCGAAGUCCAGAAACUUCAUGCAAAACCAAACACAUCUUUGCAAACAAAAUUGGAACUAAACGAGACCAAAAGAUCAGCACCUUGCCAAAACGAUCCUCCUGAACGAAAGCCCCUGAUGUCACAUGGACUCAAGAUGGCAUCUGCAAACUUAGAGGACCAAACUCUCCAUUUGACUGUCAGGCUGCAGGCAGGAGAUGAGGAGGAGGAACAAGAUGAAGAAAUUGGUGGUUUAAUCAACUCUGAUGGAGAAGUUGUUGAUUGGGAUGCCAGAGACAGUCCUGACCGAGGCUCUGAUUGUGAAGAAGGACCUCAGCUUAGCAAGGCUGUUGUCAUGUCUGAAUCUCAGCUGCAAGGCCAAAACCAGAGGGAAAGCAGUAGUCCAACACUCAUCAUGGAAGUGUCUGUGGGAGAAGAUGAAGAAAGGGAAGAAGGGGAAGAGAAAGAGAGAGUAGUAAAGAUGACAACUGUUCCUCGCUUGUACCGUGGAAGGAGACAGAGAAGAAAGAAGAAGGUUCCAGAAGCAACGGUAGUCUCACUGGACAUCUCAGACACAGAGAAAGAAGCUCCUGCAAAUUCUGCAAAGCGACGGAGCAGGAGAAAGAUUUCUGAAACUCCACCAUUGCCAAGUAAAGACUUAGAGGCAGAACCUGGAAGUGAGUUUUCUUCUUGA